UACGUAGGGUGCAAGCGUUAAUCGGAAUUACUGGGCGUAAAGCGUGCGCAGGCGGCUUUGCAAGACAGAUGUGAAAUCCCCGGGCUUAACCUGGGAACUGCAUUUGUGACUGCAUGGCUGGAGUGCGGCAGAGGGGGAUGGAAUUCCGCGUGUAGCAGUGAAAUGCGUAGAUAUGCGGAGGAACACCGAUGGCGAAGGCAAUCCCCGUGGGCCUGCACUGACGCUCAUGCACGAAAGCGUGGGGAGCAAACAGG
rnacentral:rRNA from 1 species